GCAAUCCCAAUCUCAGCUGAGCACUGUCAGCUGCCAACACUACCAGCAGCUGAAACAAGUCCUUCCCUCCUGGAAGCAGAUAGUGAUGAAGAAUCUCAAAGCCCUGAAGAGGAAAUGCAGACAAUGAUUUGGCAACCGGAAGGUGUGUUGGGACAGCUGUAAAUGAAACUGACUGCAAAAAACAGAGAGGUUUAAAG